rnacentral:rRNA from 1 species
AUUGAACGCUAGCGGGAUGCUUUACACAUGCAAGUCGAACGAGUGGAGGACGGGUGAGUAAUAUAUCGGAACGUGCCCAGUAGCGGGGGAUAACUACUCGAAAGAGUGGCUAAUACCGCAUACGAUUGGAGGGGCAGAUAUCGUAUUAGCUAGUGGGUGGGGUAAAGGCUCACAAAGGAAAAGAUCCGUAGCUGGUUUGAGAGGACGACCAGCCACACUGGGACUGAGACACGGCCCAGACUCCUACGGGAGGCAGCAGUGGGGAAUUUUGGACAAUGGGGGAAACCCUGAUCCAGCCAUCCCGCGUGUAUGAGAAGGCCCUAGGGUUGUAAAGUACUUUCAGUCGGGAGGCGUUACCGACAGAAGAAGCACCGGCUAACUCCGUGCCAGCAGCCGCGGUAAUUC